CGGGGGCCUAAUAUGCGUCGAGCGCAGGAAUCAUCCGAACCCUUCGGGGGGACGUUGAUGGAACGAGGGGGACGGGUGAGUAACACGUAAAGAACCUGCCCUCAGGUCUGGGAUAACCACGAAAAUCGGGGCUAAUACCGGAUGGGUCAUCGGACCGCAUGGUCCGAGGAUGAAAGGCGCUUCGCGUCGCCUGGGGAUGGCUUUGCGGUGCAUUAGCUAGUUGGUGGGGUAAUGGCCCACCAAGGCGACAUGCAUAGCCGACCUGAGAGGGUGAUCGGCCCACUGGGCUGAACACGGCCCAACUCUACGGGAGGCAGCAGUAGGGAAUCUUCCACAAUGGACGAAAGUCUGUGGAGCAACGCCGCGUGAACGAUGAAGGCCUUCGGGUCGUAAAGUUUGUUGUAAGGGAAGAACAAGUGCCGCAGGAAUGGCGGCACCUUGACGGUCCUUGCGAGAAAGCCACGGCUAACUACGUGCCAGCAGCCGCGGUAAUACGUAGGUGGCAAGCGUGUCCGGAAUUAUUGGGCGUAAAGCGCGCGCAGGCGGCUCUUAGUCUGAUGUGAAAGCCCCCGGCUCAACCGGGGAGGGCCAUUGGAAACUGGGAGGCUUGAGUAUAGGAGAAAAGUGGAAUUCCCACGUGUAGCGGUGAAAUGCGUAGAGAUGUGGAGGAACACCAGUGGCGAAGGCGACUCUUUGGCCUAUAACUGACGCUGAAGGCGCGAAAGCGUGGGGAGCAAACAGGAUUUAAUACCCUGGUAUCCACGCCGUAAACGAAUGAGUGCUAGGGUUGGAC
rnacentral:rRNA from 1 species